rnacentral:misc_RNA from 1 species
GUGUUUCAAAUUAUUUUGCCAACAAAAUACAUUCAAAGUGUGGUAUGUGUGUGUAAACGUAGGCCUUUACGACCUACAAAGGGUGCACAGGUGUGGUAAGAAAAGAGGUUGGAAUGGUUCAAGGAGUGCACAUGCCCCUGAGGGCCAGCAAAGUCAUCCUCGAGCAUUUCGUUAAUGAUCCUUCCGCAGGUUCACCUACGGAAA